rnacentral:rRNA from 1 species
UACAGAGGGUGCAAGCGUUGUUCGGAAUUAUUGGGCGUAAAGAGCUUGUAGGCGGUUUGUCGCGUCUGCUGUGAAAUUCCAGGGCUUAACCCUGGGCUUGCAGUGGGUACGGGCAGACUAGAGUGUGGUAGGGGAGACUGGAAUUCCUGGUGUAGCGGUGAAAUGCGCAGAUAUCAGGAGGAACACCGAUGGCGAAGGCAGGUCUCUGGGCCACUACUGACGCUGAGAAGCGAAAGCAUGGGGAGCGAACAGG